CCAAACUUGGUCAUUUAGAGGAAGUAAAAGUCGUAACAAGGUUUCCGUAGGUGAACCUGCGGAAGGAUCAUUAUUGAAUAAACCUGGUCAAGCUGUUGCUGGUUCUUAGGGACAUGUGCACGCUCGACUAUCGUUUUUAACCCCCUGUGCACCUUGUGUAGAUCUGGAGUUUUAUUGAAACAUUUUGUUUCGUGUGGGGAAUUGCAUUAGCUUUCCCUGUUUCUCCGGUCUAUGUUUUUAUAUUAUACCCUUUUAAAUGUGUAUGAAUGUAUUUCUAGGCUUUUUUUGAAGCCUAUAAAAAUAUAUACAACUUUCAACAACGGAUCUCUUGGCUCUCGCAUCGAUGAAGAACGCAGC
rnacentral:misc_RNA from 1 species